rnacentral:rRNA from 1 species
GACGAACGCUGGCGGCGGGCCUAACACAUGCAAGUCGAACGGAAAGGCCCUGGUUUUUUGGGGUGGUCGGGGGGGGAACGGGGGAGUAACACGUGGGUUACCUGUCCCUGAGUUUUGGAUGACUUCAGGAAACUGGGGCUAAUAGCGGGUAGGAGCUCCUGCUGCUUGGUGGGGGGUGGUAAGUUUCGGCGGUUGGGGAUGGACUCGCGGCUUAUCAGCUUGUUGGUGGGGUGGUGGCUUACCAAGGCCUUGACGGGUAGCCGGCCUGAGAGGGUGACCGGCCACAUUGGGACUGAGAUACGGCCCAGACUCCUACGGGAGGCAGCAGUGGGGAAUAUUGCACAAUGGGCGGAAGCCUGAUGCAGCAACGCCGCGUGCGGGAUGACGGCCUUCGGGUUGUAAACCGCUUUCGCCUGUGACGAAGCGUGAGUGACGGUAAUGGGUAAAGAAGCACCGGCUAACUACGUG